rnacentral:rRNA from 1 species
UACGAGGGGGGCAAGCGUUGUUCGGAAUUAUUGGGCGUAAAGAGCGUGUAGGCGGCUCGCUAAGUCUUGCGUGAAAUCUCGGGGCUCAACCCCGAGCGGUCGUGAGAAACUGGCGGGCUAGAAUGCGGGAGAGGAGAGUGGAAUUCCUGGUGUAGCGGUGAAAUGCGCAGAUAUCAGGAAGAACACCCGUGGCGAAGGCGGCUCUCUGGAACGCGACUGACGCUGAGACGCGAAAGCGUGGGGAGCAAACAGG